rnacentral:rRNA from 1 species
GGCUCAGAUUGAACGCUGGCGGAAUGCUUUACACAUGCAAGUCGAACGGCAGCACGAGAGCUUGCUCUUGGUGGCGAGUGGCGAACGGGUGAGUAAUAUAUCGGAACGUAUCCAAUAAUGGGGGAUAACUAAUCGAAAGGUUAGCUAAUACCGCAUACGCCCUACGGGGGAAAGCAGGGGAUCUUCGGACCUUGCGUUAAUGGAGCGGCUGAUAUCUGAUUAGCUAGUAGGUGAGGUAAAGGCUCACCUAGGCUUCGAUCAGUAGCUGGUCUGAGAGGACGACCAGCCACACUGGAACUGAGACACGGUCCAGACUCCUACGGGAGGCAGCAGUGGGGAAUUUUGGACAAUGGGCGCAAGCCUGAUCCAGCCAUUCCGCGUGAGUGAAGAAGGCCUUCGGGUUGUAAAGCUCUUUCGCAAGGGAAGAAACGAUACCGACGAAUAAUCGGUGUUAAUGACGGUACCUUGAUAAGAAGCACCGGCUAACUACGUG